UGCUUCCUCCACUUCCGCACCAUUGAUUCAUUAAUAUUAAAUUCUCUCGCUGCUGCUCUAUUCCCAUGUUCUUUUGCGUGACUGAUAGCCUUGAGUUUGAACUCUGCCUGGUAAGCGUGUCUUUUCUUAGGAGCCAUUUUGGGGUCUUUACACAAAUACAAAUGGAAAUGGCACGCUUUGCUCAGUCAUAUAUCCCAGAAUGCACCGCGCGCUUCUUCUUCUACGGGGAAAAUGAAGUCGGCGGCUGCUUACCGUAGUUCCGGCUCAAUAUUGGUCCAUAUAUAUGGCGCACCGGAUUUUAAGGCGCACUGUCGGCUUUUGAGAAAACUAAAGGUUUUUACGUGUGCCUUAUAGUGUGGAAAAUACGGUAUUCAUUAAUUACUACUUUUAAAGU